UCUUUGUUAGUAUGGUGGUUAGUAUAUCUGCCUGUCACGCGGGUGACCGGGGUUCAAUUCUCUGAAAGAGAG
rnacentral:tRNA from 1 species